rnacentral:rRNA from 1 species
GAUGAACGCUGGCGGCGUGCCUAAUACAUGCAAGCCGAGCGAACGGACGAGAAGCUUGCUUCUCUGAUGUUAGCGGCGGACGGGUGAGUAACACGUGGAUAACCUACCUAUAAGACUGGGAUAACUUCGGGAAACCGGAGCUAAUACCGGAUGAUAUUUUGAACCGCAUGGUUCAAUAGUGAAAGACGGUCUUGCUGUCACUUAUAGAUGGAUCCGCGCUGCAUUAGCUAGUUGGUAAGGUAACGGCUUACCAAGGCAACGAUGCAUAGCCGACCUGAGAGGGUGAUCGGCCACACUGGAACUGAGACACGGUCCAGACUCCUACGGGAGGCAGCAGUAGGGAAUCUUCCGCAAUGGGCGAAAGCCUGACGGAGCAACGCCGCGUGAGUGAUGAAGGUCUUCGGAUCGUAAAACUCUGUUAUUAGGGAAGAACAAAUGUGUAAGUAACUAUGCACAUCUUGACGGUACCUAAUCAGAAAGCCACGGCUAACUACGUG